UUGAAUUGUCAUGGCUGAUUGCUAACUGUUUUUUCAUAUCGAAAUUUUUUUAUUGGAAAUUAGGUAUUUAUAUCAAAGUUAUGCCCGUACCUCUUCACAUUUUGAUCUCGAAUAACCUACAUUACGUGUCUGCCUAUCUAGAUCUAUCUACUCGUACAUCGAUUACAUUCGUUCACAUCAAUUCAAAUUUUAAACACUCUUUAAGAAUUUCUUACGCGUUCUGAUGUGUACCUGUGGAUUAUUUUUUUCUUUUCUUUUUUCGAAUAAAAUGUUUUUCACAAUUGCGAUUUUUGUGUUUUCAAUUAGUAUCACUAGCGUCGACUGUCGAUCCACAAAGAAUUACUCCAACUUAACGAAGGAUGAAUUGAUAAGGAUGGUUCGAGAAAAGGAUGAGAUGGUUCGAGAAAAGGAUGAGAUGGUUCGAGAAAAGGAUGCGAGACUUCAAGGAGCUAGGGCGGAAUUGUGCAGAUUAUCUGGAAUUAGACAAAGAUACAAAUUCUAAAGAGUGGAUACCAAAGGAACGCUUGAGGAAACAGGCCGCCAAAGAAAAAAUGGAAUUGUACUCACAUUCAGAGCAGGAUUUUAUCAAAGGAAAGCAGUCAGUGUGAAGACACUAGACAUUGGCUAGUUCUUCUUCCCGGAAAAGUGACACUAAUCAUCUAGAGUUCGACAAUUCUGUGGCUUCCACCCCGGAAUGGUGGUUUCGAAGAAAGACCUCAAUGAUCAACGUAAUAUUGUCUCCCUGAGUAGCAUGGAUAAACAAAAGGCACAAUACAACCUACAGCCCAUUUACAUCAAUAUUACAGGAAUACAAUUAAGCCCAUGGUUCUGUAGCCAUUAAAAUUGGUGGAAAGGAAACCUAUAUUAAUCGGCAGGUAGUAUUUUGUCGAUUAAUAGAUAUCCAUGAAUUUUAAUGGCUACAUGAAGCAUUUUAUAAUUAGUGCCUUUUGAAAUUCUUCUAUGUUGAAAAUAAAAAUGAAAAACCCGGCUUCGUAAA